GAUGAACGCUGGCGGCGUGCUUAACACAUGCAAGUCGAACGAGAAGUGAAGACGGAAACCUUCGGGCGGAAGGCUUUAUUUCGAGUGGCGGACGGGUGAGUAACGCGUGGGUAACCUGCCUCAUACAGGGGGAUAACAGUUGGAAACGACUGUUAAUACCGCAUAAGACCACAGCACCGCAUGGUGCGGGGGUAAAAACUCCGGUGGUAUGAGAUGGACCCGCGUUCGAUUAGCCAGUUGGCGGGGUAACGGCCCACCAAAGCGACGAUCGAUAGCCGAUCUGAGAGGGUGACCGGCCACAUUGGGACUGGGACACGGCCCAAACUCCUACGGGAGGCAGCAGUGGGGAAUAUUGCACAAUGGGGGAAACCCUGAUGCAGCGACGCCGCGUGAGUGAAGAAGUAUUUCGGUAUGUAAAGCUCUAUCAGCAGGGAAGAAAAUGACGGUACCUGAGGAAGAAGCCCCGGCUAACUACGUG
rnacentral:rRNA from 1 species